CGCGUCGCGUGUUGUCGUCGUUCCUGUUCUGGGUGUUUCGGCGUGGCAUUGGUGGCUCGGACUGUUCUGACUGUGUGUUUAUGCCUUGCUAGUGACGUCUGGACAUGUUUCUCUGUUUGUACGCCUUGGAAGAUACGACCAGAAGCCGUUGGAUUUCGUGAAUGGAAGACGCUUUUGACAGAUUUGUUUCUGUGUACAAGACAAACGGGCUGUCGCACUCCCGACGUAGGAAAUGAACACACACGUCGCUGAGAUCUUAAAAGACAAAGUAGGGUGUGCACUUCACCCAUGCAACUCCAAUGUCUGCUUCAUGGCAGUGCAAGCUCUUACAACCGUGCCCUUGAAUGUAACAAGCCAAAUAAACUGGAUAACAGAGAAAAGUUUCCUUGCUCUUUUGCCACUAUGUUCGCGUAAAGAUAUUCAGCCUAUCAUACCUACAUUUUUCUAAGAUCUGUACUGCUUUCACAAUGUAACCUCCCCUUUGGUGCUUUGUGUGUAGGUGCAUUUUGGUUCCCCACUAUGUGUCACUGGAUGCACCCUGUAUAACCUUCACUCCGUAUCGUCAUAAGACCGUAACCCGACCAGCGGCUUCUUCAACGUGGCACAUAACCUUAUGCUCUCUGCGCCCCGUAUAAGCGGUCUCAUACUUCCGUUGUGGCUCACAAAAUCAUGUGGGCAUAUGGGUCACAUGAGAAUUGUAUGGGACGUUUAUACGGGAUUGUUGGAUAUGGAGAUUCUCGAAUGGCUCAUACGGGCCAUAUGAGGACCCCGUAUGGUCUAUAUAACUCAUAUGUCCAUAUAACACAUAACCACAUGUUCAAUAAUGCCAUAUAUAUGGGACCCGUAUUUAUUCGAUAUGGGUUUUUUCAAUAGGGGAGAGGGGGUAUUGAAGGCAUAAUCACAUGUUCUAGGGUAGACUUCAAGCAAGCUGUGCCUGCCCGGUACUCAGCACAACGACAUACGUCCGCAGCUCUCGUAAUGAGACGACAAAAUUUCGAGGCAACCAGCUU